UGCCACAGCCAUAUCACCGUGCAGCCCAAGACUGGUUGCCCACUGAAGCUAAGCAGGGUUGAGCCUGGUUAGUACAUGGAUGGGAGACCUCCUGGGAAAACUAGGUUGCUGUUGGAA
rnacentral:rRNA from 1 species